CCGGAGAGGGAGCCUGAGAAACGGCUACCACAUCCAAGGAAGGCAGCAGGCGCGCAAAUUACCCAAUCCCGACGCGGGGAGGUAGUGACAAUAAAUACUGAUAUGGGGCUCUUUCGGGUCUCGUAAUUGGAAUGAGUACAAUCUAAAUCCCUUAACGAGGAACAAUUGGAGGGCAAGUCUGGUGGAGGAGUCCCUGCGGCGGGCGGGUGAUCGUGCCACCGCCUCCGCUGUUGGCGCCAGACAGUCGUGGGGCCCCCGGGCUCUCACGCAGUGGGUCGUCCGAACCCGCGAGGUGUCCGGUUACGGGGAAGCCCAGUCGCCGUGAGGGCGCUGGAAAUCCCGAGUGUCAGGCUCUGACCCCCCGGGGUCUCGGGCUGGCUCGUAACGCAUGGAAGGACAUCGCCAGGCGCGUGCCGUCCGCGCGCCUGUUGAGGUACAUGCUGAUCCUACCCGUGAGGGGUUGUCCGCAGUGGGGUUCCCGUUCACACGUCGGCGGUAUGGAGCGCCGACGGGGGACCCAACGUGGGCGUGAGGAAGACGGGUGCGUCCCGACGUGGGCGUGCGCCCCGUCGACCUGUGGCCAGCAGCCGCGGUAAUUCCAGCUCCAAUAGCGUAUAUUAAAGUUGUUGCGGUUAAAAAGCUCGUAGUUGAACCUUGGGCCUGGCUGAUCUGUCCUCCUCAC
rnacentral:rRNA from 1 species